AACAUCUUUGUUUGUAUGUGGUGCUGAGGAUAGAACCCAGGCUGCACGCAUGACAGAUGUUGGCGGACCAGCUGAAGGAGCGGAAGAUGUCAGCAUGGAAGGGUGACCUGUGGUAAGAGCUCACUGUUGGUGCCUUGCAGUUUCCAGGGUUGGCCUUGCUUCUGAUGGGCUUCCAAGCAGAGUGGGGCAGCCACAGCUCUGACUCAGCCUUACCAGGUGCCCGGGGGCCCUGCAUAGACGAAGCGGUAGUCAUCCACAUCCAGGGCAUCCCAGAACUCAUUCAGCCAGUCAGAGGAGAAGUACACAGGCAAGGUGAACACGUCCCCCAAGUCCUCUGCAGAUGAGUCCCUGUGGAGAGCCAAGAGGCUGAAGAGUCCCAGUCUUCCUGGAUCUACUGGACAGUGAUAGCCCUGAGAAACCUGAGUUGAACCCCUCAAACUGCUGAGCCCAGAACUGCAAGGUGGAAGGUGGCUUUGGGGGUGGCCUGUGACAAAGCACAACUGACCCAUACAAGCAGUGGGCACUCUCCCUCAGACCCAGAGCUCUGGUGUGUGCCUGUGCUAGGGGUUCUGGUGCUGUGUGGGCAUCCUCCCAACUCCUGAAUUGGGGGCCCUCUUUCACUUUUCACCAGUACCAGCAGACCACAUUUUGCCUAGUAGAUUCUAAGUGGCAGGCCCAGGCAGAAGGGCUAUCCAUGGACCCUCUCAACACUGUGCUGGAAAAAAAUUCUGGACUCAAGCGCACAUAACUGCUGGUCAGAUGAUGACAGAGCAGGGCAUGUGCAGCAACAACCAUGUACAGGUCCCAAAACACACAAGGGUCCCUCUGCCUAGCAUGCCUCUGAGCUUCCAGCAAAGUCUGCUCAUCCACAAAGAUCCUGCUCAGGUGUCUCUCCCUGUGUCCUCCUGACUGUAGGACCCCAUGUCUUCCUCUGCCCUUUUUGUUUGGACCUGUCAGAUAAAAUUCAGGAAAGUCAAAAGUUGAAUUCCAAAUACACAAUGAACAAUUUUCUAGCAUACGUAUGUCACAUGCAAUAUUUGAGAAACACUUAGCAAAUGAUCAAGACCCAUCUGUUUACCUAGUACCUCAAGCAUAGUGCACAACCACGCCUGGGUCUGUGUCUGUCUGCACUGCUGGUUCAAGCGAUGCCUGUGGGCCAGGACCAGCCUCUGGCUGAACCUGGCCCACUCUCCAAGCAAGCAGCAGAGUGAUGGGGUGAGUUGGGCCUGGUGCUUCUCGUGACCUGGUGGGAACUGCAAGGGCCUCACUCCAUUGCUCUGAGCUUUAGUUUGCACAAAGUGACCCAGGAAUUUGUUCCCAGGUUCAUUCAACAUUACCUGAGCCCCACAAUGUACCCACUGCUGAGGGUAUGAGCAUAAUAGCCUUUUCUUGUGAAAGGCAUACCCAGCAAGGGACACAAAAUCCCAGGACCACCUUGGAGAGGUAUGUAUAUGCUUCCCAGAGUGAACACUGUGUGUCUGGGUCUUGGGGUGGGUUAAGCUUUUCAGAUGAAUUAUAGAUGCCUCUCAGCUUACAAUGGGCUCAUAUUCUCAUAUGUCCAUGUUGAAAAUACCAUAAAUUAAAAAUACAUUAAUACGGUA